UGGUUGGAGAAAUAAUGCAGUUAACAAAAAUUACUUUGAAAAUAGAUCUGUCUUUGAUAGCAGCACUGGAAUAAUUCAAAUACAAAAGUUAACAAAAAGUGACAAUGAUUCAUACACUUUGGAGUUUUUUUUAUCAGAAUGGAAGAGACACUCACAAGAGUUAUCACAAACUAAUAAUUGAAGCCCCAGUGUCCUCUGUGCUCUUGGAGCAGGAGUGUGUGUCCAAAGGAACGGUGAGGGCAUCCUGCGCCCCUCAGGGACGAGACAGUCCUGAGUACAUCUGGACUUUAAAUGGACAAACUCUCACAGACUCUGAGCUUCUCUCCAAAAACAAAGAAAACACCAUCCUCACCCUGAGACAAAACACAGUGGGACUGCUGCGCUGCUCUGUCAAAAAUCAGUCAAGAGUUUAAGGAGAUUCAUAUUAACAGUUGUGGAUACAUAUUCAUAAACUGCACGUUAAAUGGGACACAGAUAUCCGAUUGGGUUUAUAAAGCCAAUAACACCCUGUGCAUCGAACAAACCACAGCCGCUCCCAUCACUUCUGUGGGUAAGACAACAACCACCCAUCACAGUGUACCAGCCAGCUCCCCAAGCACUCCAGCUGGCUCUUGGUACAUUCAUGACUGGCCCAUUAUAUUUCGUUCACUGGUGUUUGUUUUCAUAACUGUUGUAUUCAUUUGUGUCCUGAAGACAACAAUAAGAGAGGUAUGCAAGUGUUCUGUACAUUUU